rnacentral:rRNA from 1 species
AGUGAACGCUGGCGGUAUGCCUAACACAUGCAAGUCGAACGGCAGCACGGUAGCUUGCAGCUGGUGGCGAUGGGGGGAGGGGGGAGGAAUAGAUCGGCACAGGUCUUUAAGUUUUCGAUAGGGCUGCGAAAGGCGGACUAAUACUACAAACGAACACGGGAUGAAAGUGGGAGCCCGGGGUCUUCCGCGCUUUAGGGUUUGACGAUGCCGGAUUAGCUAGUUGGCGGGGUAAAGGCCAACCAAGGCGACGAUCAGUAGCUGGUCUGAGAGGACGAGCAGCCACACUGGAACUGAGACACGGCCCAGACUCCUACGGGAGGCAGCAGUGGGGAAUAUUGGACAAUGGGCGCAAGCCUGAUCCAGCCAUACCGCGUGGGUGAAGAAGGCCUUCGGGUUGUAAAGCACUUUUGUUGGGAAAGAAAAGCUUCAGGUUAAUACCCUGCGGUGAUGACGGUACCCAAAGAAUAAGCACCGGCUAACUUCGUG